CGAAGGAUGCAAGCGUUAUCCGGAUUCAGUUGGGUUUAAAGGGUGCGUAGGCGGACUGAUAAGUCAGUGGUGAAAUCUCUCAGCUUAACUGAGAAACUGCCAUUGAUACUGUUAGUCUAGAGUAUAGAUGACGUUGGCGGAAUAUGACAUGUAGUGGUGAAAUACUUAGAUAUGUCAUAGAACACCGAUUGCGAAGGCAGCUAACGAAACUAUAACUGACGCUGAGGCACGAAAGUGCGGGGAUCAAACAGGAUUAGAUACCCUGGUAGUCCGCACCGUAAACGAUGAUUACUCGUUGUUGGCGAUAUGACAGUCAGCGACCAAGCGAAAGCGAUAAGUAAUCCACCUGGGGAGUACGCCGGCAACGGUG
rnacentral:rRNA from 1 species